rnacentral:rRNA from 1 species
AGGCGUCGAGUGGCGGACGGGUGAGUAAUGCAUAGGAAUCUACCCUGUAGUGGGGGACAACCUGGGGAAACUCAGGCUAAUACCGCAUAAUCCCUAAGGGGGAAAGUGGGGGACCUUCGGGCCUCACGCUAUUGGAUGAGCCUAUGUCGGAUUAGCUAGUUGGUGGGGUAAAGGCCUACCAAGGCGACGAUCAGUAUCUGGUUUGAGAGGAUGAUCAGACACAUUGGAACUGAGACACGGUCCAAACUCC